rnacentral:rRNA from 1 species
AACGUAGGAGACAAACGUUGAUCCGGAGUUACUUGGGCGUGAAAGGGCAGGUGUAGGCGGUUCGUUAAGUCUGGCGUGAAAGCUCUCGGCUAAACCGGGAGAGGUCGUUGGAUACUGGCGGACUAGAGGACGGUGAGAGGCGUGUGGAAUUCCGGGUGUAGUGGUGAAAUGCGUAGAGAGUCCGGAGGAACACCAGUGGCGAAGGCGACACGCUGGGCCGUACCUGACGCUAAAGCGCGACAGGCAUGGGGAGCAAACGGG